GACGAACGCUGGCGGCGUGCUUAACACAUGCAAGUCGAACGAUGAAGCGGUGCUUGCACCGUGGAUUAGUGGCGAACGGGUGAGUAAUACGUGAGUGACCUACCUUUGACUCUGGGAUAAGCCUGGGAAACUGGGUCUAAUACCGGAUACGACCAAUCUCUGCAUGGGGUGUUGGUGGAGAGCGUUAUGGAGUGGUUUUAGAUGGGCUCACGGCCUAUCAGCUUGUUGGUGAGGUAAUGGCUUACCAAGGCGACGACGGGUAGCCGGCCUGAGAGGGUGACCGGCCACACUGGGACUGAGACACGGCCCAGACUCCUACGGGAGGCAGCAGUGGGGAAUAUUGCACAAUGGGCGCAAGCCUGAUGCAGCGACGCCGCGUGAGGGAUGACGGCCUUCGGGUUGUAAACCUCUGUUAGCAUCGAAGAAGCGAAAGUGACGGUAGGUGCAGAGAAAGCGCCGGCUAACUACGUG
rnacentral:rRNA from 1 species